GACGAACGCUGGCGGCGUGCUUAACACAUGCAAGUCGAACGGAAAGGCCCUGCUUUUGUGGGGUGCUCGAGUGGCGAACGGGUGAGUAACACGUGAGUAACCUGCCCUUGACUUUGGGAUAACUUCAGGAAACUGGGGCUAAUACCGGAUAGGAGCUCCUGCUGCAUGGUGGGGGUUGGAAAGUUUCGGCGGUUGGGGAUGGACUCGCGGCUUAUCAGCUUGUUGGUGGGGUAGUGGCUUACCAAGGCUUUGACGGGUAGCCGGCCUGAGAGGGUGACCGGGCAAAAUGGGAAUGAGAGACGGACCAGAAUCCUAAGGGAGGCAGCAGGGGGGAAUAUUGCAAAAUGGGCGGAAGCCUGAUGCAGCAAAGCCGCGUGCGGGAUGACGGCCUUCGGGUUGUAAACCGCUUUCGCCGGUGAAGAAGAGUGAGUGAAGGUAAUGGGUAAAGAAGCAACGGCUAACUAAGUG
rnacentral:rRNA from 1 species